rnacentral:ncRNA from 2 species
CAAGCGCGGGUAAACGGCGGGAGUAA